AUCGCAAACCACUUGCUCCUUCUUGUUGCUAGAGUAUCAUCAGUUUUGAAAUGGCCAACUUCAGCGUCAUGCUCUCUUGUCUUUUACUGUUCGGAUUGAUUACAUCUGGAGUUUCUGUUGACUGGAAUGAUCCCCGAACAGGCAUUUGCUUCUGGGCUAGAGAUGCAGAGAUUCCGUUGAAAGAGGAUCCGCAACUUUACAAAUAUUGUGCCACGGUCUUUGCUAACCAGAAUGAAGAGAAAAAAGAAUAUUGAAAGUUGUCUGAGAAAGUCAAAAUAAAAUUAUCAGAGUAGUC
rnacentral:sRNA from 1 species